rnacentral:rRNA from 1 species
GCGGCAGACGGGUGAGUAACGCGUGGGGAUCUGCCCAAUGGUACGGAAUAACCCAGGGAAACUUGGACUAAUACCGUAUGUGCCCUUCGGGGGAAAGAUUUAUCGCCAUUGGAUGAACCCGCGUCGGAUUAGCUAGUUGGUGAGGUAAAGGCUCACCAAGGCGACGAUCCGUAGCUGGUCUGAGAGGAUGAUCAGCCACACUGGGACUGAGACACGGCCCAGACUCCUACGGGAGGCAGCAGUGGGGAAUAUUGGACAAUGGGCGCAAGCCUGAUCCAGCCAUGCCGCGUGUGUGAUGAAGGCCUUAGGGUUGUAAAGCACUUUCGCCGGUGAAGAUAAUGACGGUAACCGGAGAAGAAGCCCCGGCUAACUUCGUGCCAGCAGCCGCGGUAAUACGAAGGGGGCAAGCGUUGCUCGGAAUCACUGGGCGUAAAGCGCACGUAGGCGGGUCGUUAAGUCAGGGGUGAAAUCCUGGAGCUCAACUCCAGAACUGCCUUUGAUACUGGCGACCUAGAGUUCGAGAGAGGUUGGUGGAACUCCGAGUGUAGAGGUGAAAUUCGUAGAUAUUCGGAAGAACACCAGUGGCGAAGGCGGCCAACUGGCUCGAUACUGACGCUGAGGUGCGAAAGCGUGGGAGCAAACAGGAUUAGAUACCCUGGUAGUCCAC